rnacentral:rRNA from 1 species
GAUGAACGCUAGCGGCAGGCUUAAUACAUGCAAGUCGUGGGGCAGCAUGGUGUGUAGCAAUACACACUGAUGGCGACCGGCAAACGGGUGCGGAACACGUACGCAACUUACCCUUAAGUGGGGGAUAGCCCGGGGAAACCCGGAUUAAUACCUCGUAACACUGUGAAGUGGCAUCACUUUAUGGUUAUAGCUCCGGCGCUUAAGGAUGGGCGUGCGUCCCAUUAGGUAGUUGGUUGAGGUAACGGCUCACCAAGUCUGCGAUGGGUAACUGGUGUGAGAGCACGACCAGUCACACGGGCACUGAGACACGGGCCCGACUCCUACGGGAGGCAGCAGUAAGGAAUAUUGGUCAAUGGACGCAAGUCUGAACCAGCCAUGCCGCGUGGAGGAUGAAGGCCCUCUGGGUUGUAAACUUCUUUUAUGGGGGACGAAACCCCGGAUUUUUAUCCGGCCUGACGGUACCCCAGGAAUAAGCACCGGCUAACUCCGUGCCAGCAGCCGCCGUAAUAC